UGUUGUGGUAGUUUAAAUAGAACGUAGUUUUGAAGCAGCUAAGGUGGUAACCAAUCCCCAAAACAA
rnacentral:tRNA from 1 species